GCAUCAACUCAUGUGGUCUUGCCCACAUUUUCCACUUACAGGCUAUUUACAGACGUGAAAUCAGAGCAGACUCAGGGACACACACGGCUUGGCAUAAGACUUGGUAUUCUAAUCAGAAAACAAACAACUAAACAGACAAUUUUUGCAACCUGUCUGAACAAAGGCAAAGAAACCCAUCUAUAUUCUCAGAAGGACAGAUUAAAGGCUUGUUACAGACGUCUCCUUUGUUCCCAUGCAGUCUGGCCUGUGAUUGCUCUCGCUCUCUCUUCUUCUCACUGUUUCCAUGCUCUUUCAGAACUGAGAGGCUUGUGGAAAUUGCUCCUGUGGGUACCGUUUCACUCUUCUACUGUUAGGUGUUAAUGCUGGAAACAGAGACAGUAACUGAGCUUGUUUAAAAGCACAGAAGAAAGAAAAAAAGUUGAAUAAACCUUUGCUUUACAUUUGUAUAUUUCA
ensembl:lncRNA